UACGUAGGGACCAAGCGUUGUUCGGAUUUACUGGGCGUAAAGGGCGCGUAGGCGGCGCGGUCAGUCACUUGUGAAAUCUCUGAGCUUAACUCAGAACGGCCAAGUGAUACUGCAGUGCUAGAGUGUGGAAGGGGCAAUCGGAAUUCUUGGUGUAGCGGUGAAAUGCGUAGAUAUCAAGAGGAACACCUGAGGUGAAGACGGGUUGCUGGGCCAACACUGACGCUGAUGCGCGAAAGCCAGGGGAGCAAACGGG
rnacentral:rRNA from 1 species